GAAUAGCUCAGUCGGUAGAGCAUGAGAUUCUUAAUCUCAAGGUCAUGGGUUUGAGCCCCAUGUUGGGCA